rnacentral:rRNA from 1 species
UUAGAGUUUGAUCCUGGCUCAGGAUGAACGCUAGCUACAGGCUUAACACAUGCAAGUCGAGGGGCAGCGGGUUGAAAGCUUGCUUUCAAUGCCGGCGACCGGCGCACGGGUGCGUAACGCGUAUCAAACCUGCCUCAUACUCGGGGAUAGCCUUGCGAAAGUAAGAUUAAUACCCGAUGUUGUUGCUUUCUCGCAUGGGAGAGUAACCAAAGAUUUAUCGGUAUGAGAUGGUGAUGCGUCCGAUUAGGUAGUAGGCGGGGUAACGGCCCACCUAGCCUUCGAUCGGUAGGGGUUCUGAGAGGAAGGUCCCCCACACUGGAACUGAGACACGGUCCAGACUCCUACGGGAGGCAGCAGUGAGGAAUAUUGGUCAAUGGGCGAGAGCCUGAACCAGCCAAGUAGCGUGCAGGAUGACGGCCCUCCGGGUUGUAAACUGCUUUUAGUUGGGAAUAAAAAAAGGGACUUGUCCCUUCUUGUAUGUACCUUCAGAAAAAGGACCGGCUAAUUCCGUGCCAGCAGCCGCGGUAAUACGGAAGGUCCAGGCGUUAUCCGGAUUUAUUGGGUUUAAAGGGAGCGUAGGCGGAUUGUUAAGUCAGCGGUUAAAGGGUGUGGCUCAACCAUGCAUUGCCGUUGAAACUGGAGAUCUUGAAUGCAGACAGGGAUGCCGGAAUUCGUGGUGUAGCGGUGAAAUGCUUAGAUAUCACGAAGAACUCCGAUCGCGAAGGCAGGUGUCCGGGCUGCAACUGACGCUGAGGCUCGAAAGUGUGGGUAUCAAACAGGAUUAGAUACCCUGGUAGUCCACACAGUAAA